GCACAAGCGGUGGAUGAUGUGGUUUAAUUCGAUGCAACGCGAAAACCUUACCACCUUUGACAUGUACGGAAUCCUUUAGAGAUAGAGGAGUGCUCGAAAGAGAACCGUAACACAGGUGCUGCAUGGCUGUCGUCAGCUCGUGUCGUGAGAUGUUGGGUUAAGUCCCGCAACGAGCGCAACCCUUGUCAUUAGUUGCUACAUUCAGUUGGGCACUCUAAUGAGACUGCCGGUGACAAACCGGAGGAAGGUGGGGAUGACGUCAAGUCCUCAUGGCCCUUAUGGGUAGGGCUUCACACGUCAUACAAUGGUCGGUACAGAGGGUUGCCAACCCGCGAGGGGGAGCUAAUCCCACAAAGCCGAUCGUAGUCCGGAUCGCAGUCUGCAACUCGACUGCGUGAAGUCGGAAUCGCUAGUAAUCGUGGAUCAGCAUGUCACGGUGAAUACGUUCCCGGGUCUU
rnacentral:rRNA from 1 species